CCAUUUCAUCCAUCUUGUUUUGAUUUAUGAGUUACAAUCUCAUUUGUUAUUCCAUUCUUCUAGAUAAUAAAACCUAAAUACUUGAAUUGGUUGCAUUUUGACCCCAAAUCUCUGUCCAAUUGAAUCUCCCCUCCAUUCAUUCUAGGAGAACUAAACUCGUAAAGCAUAUAUUUUGUCUUAUUUAUACUUAGCAUUAAAAUCAUUACUCUCAAGAGUGUUCCAUAAGUCCGACUUUUAGUUAUUUAUACUUAGCAUGAGACCCUUGCUCUGAAGAGUCCUCCACAAUUCCAACUUUUGGUUAACUUCUUCGCUAGUUUCAUCCAGUUAGAUAAUAUCAUCUGCAAAUAACAUGCAUCAUAUGACAUCAUCUUGAAUAUAACUGAUUAGCUCAUCUACAACCAAGGUAAAUAGGUGCAAACUCAAAGUCAAUCUUUGAUGUAAAUCCACUGUUAUGGGGAACUCUUUCGUAUCCUUUCCCAUGGUUUUUAUACUUGUGACCUUCCCCUCAUACAUGUUCUUUAUGACAUUUAUAUAUUUAAGAUAAACUCCUUUCUUCAAAGAACUCCCCUCAGUACUUUAUCAUAUACCUUGUUUGGGUCAAUGAAUACCAUGUGGUCUCCCUAUAAAUUCCAUUAAUCUUCUUAACAGAAA
rnacentral:misc_RNA from 1 species